UGAGGAAUAUUGCGCAAUGGAGGAAACUCUGACGCAGCAACGCCGCGUGGGUGAAGAAGGCUUUCGGGUUGUAAAGCCCUGUCAGGCGGGAAGAAACCUUUACGGAUGAAUAGUCCGUAAAACUGACGGUACCGCCAAAGGAAGCACCGGCUAACUCCGUGCCAGCAGCCGCGGUAAGACGGAGGGUGCAAGCGUUGUUCGGAAUCACUGGGCGUAAAGCGCGUGUAGGCGGUUCGAUAAGUCGAAUGUGAAAGCCCGAGGCUCAACCUCGGAAGUGCAUUCGAAACUGUCGGGCUUGAGUACGGGAGAGGGAAGUGGAAUUCCUGGUGUAGAGGUGAAAUUCGUAGAUAUCAGGAGGAACACCGGUGGCGAAGGCGGCUUCCUGGACCGAUACUGACGCUGAGACGCGAAAGCGUGGGGAGCAAACA
rnacentral:rRNA from 1 species